CCUACGGGAGGCAGCAGUGAGGAAUAUUGGUCAAUGGACGAGAGUCUGAACCAGCCAAGUAGCGUGAAGGAUGACUGCCCUAUGGGUUGUAAACUUCUUUUAUAUGGGAAUAAAAUGUUCCACGUGUGGGAUUUUGUAUGUAUCAUAUGAAUAAGGAUCGGCUAACUCCGUGCCAGCAGCCGCGGUAAUACGGAGGAUCCGAGUGUUAUCCGGAUUUAUUGGGUUUCAAGGGAGAGUAGGUGGAUUGUUAAGUCAGUUGUGAAAGUUUGCGGCUCAACCGUAAAAUUGCAGUUGAAACUGGCAGUCUGGAGUACAGUAGAGGUGGGCGGAAUUCGUGGUGUAGCGGUGAAAUGCUUAGAUAUCACGAAGAACUCCGAUUGCGAAGGCAGCUCACUGGACUGCAACUGACACUGAGGCUCGAAAGUGUGGGUAUCAAACAGGAGUAGAUACCCCAGUAGUC
rnacentral:rRNA from 1 species